UAUUUCUUCGUUUUUUCCUCCCCUCCCAUCCCAUUACGUUUCUUCCUCCCCUUUCGUUUCACACUCAACCAGCCGCCACCGAUUCCAAACCUCUCUCUCAGCCAUCACGUCACGCCUCUCUCUACCGCCGCUCUUCUCUCAGCCUCUCUCAGUCGUCGUCUUCACGCAGCAAAUCGGAGAUCCCAUUCGCUCGCAGCGUCCACCUCUUCGUCUCGCAUAGCUCUCUGUCUCUGUCUCUCUCUC